GACGAACCGUGCGAACGUUAUUCGGAAUCAUUGGGCUUAAAGGGCGCGUAGGCGGCGGCGUAAGUUGGACGUGAAAUCCCAUCGGCUCAACCGUGGAAUUGCUCCCAGUACUGCGUCGCUCGAGGGGGAUAGGGGUCUGCGGAACUACCGGUGGAGCGGUGAAAUGUGUUGAUAUCGGUGGGAACGCCAGUGGCGAAAGCGGCAGACUUGACCCUUCCUGACGCUGAGGCGCGAAAGCUAGGGGAGCAAACGGG
rnacentral:rRNA from 1 species